rnacentral:sRNA from 12 species
GGGUCAGACGAGCAGACACCCAUUGAAGUUCUGCUCUACCGUUAAAAGGAAGUAAACCAUCAUG